UACGUAGGGGGCAAGCGUUAUCCGGAUUUACUGGGUGUAAAGGGAGCGUAGGCGGCUUAGUAAGUCAGAAGUGAAAGCCCGCAGCUCAACUGCGGAACUGCUUUGGAAACUGGCGAACUAGAGUGCGGGAGGGGUAAGCGGAAUUCCUAGUGUAGCGGUGAAAUGCGUAGAUAUUAGGAGGAACACCGGUGGCGAAGGCGGCUUACUGGACCGUAACUGACGUUGAGGCUCGAAAGCGUGGGGAGCAAACAGG
rnacentral:rRNA from 1 species